AUACGGAGGGUGCAAGCGUUAUUCGGAAUCACUGGGCGUAAAGGACGCGUAGGCGGGUUGGCAAGUCAGAUGUGAAAUCCUACAGCUUAACUGUAGAACUGCAUUUGAAACUGCUAACCUAGAGUAUGGGAGGGGGAGAUGGAAUUAGUGGUGUAGGGGUAAAAUCCGUAGAUAUCACUAGGAAUACCGAAAGCGAAGGCGAUCUCCUGGAACAUAACUGACGCUAAGGCGUGGAAGCGUGGGGAGCAAACAGGAUUAGAAACCCUAGUAGUCC
rnacentral:rRNA from 1 species